GAUGAAGAACGCGGCGAAAUGCGAUAAGUAGUGUGAAUUGCAGAAUUCAGUGAAUCAUCGAAUCUUUGAACGCACAUUGCGCCCCAUGGUAUUCCGUGGGGCAUGCCUGUUCGAGCGUCAUUUACCCCCUCAAGCUCCGCUUGGUGUUGGGCGUCUGUCCCGCUUCGCGCGCGGACUCGCCCCAAAGGUAUUGGCAGCGGUCGUGCCAGCUUCUCGCGCAGCACAUUGCGCUUCUCGAGGCACCGGUGGGCCCGCGUCCAUCAAGCUCACCCCCCCAGUUUGACCUCGGAUCAGGUAGGGAUACCCGCUGAACUUAAGCAUAUCAAUAAGCGGAGGA
rnacentral:misc_RNA from 1 species